AUUGAACGCUAGCGGGAGGCCUUACACAUGCAAGUCGAGCGAGUGGCGGACGGGUGAGUAAUGUAUGGGGACGUGCCCGGGAGCGGGGGAUAACUACUGGAAACAGUGGCUAAUACCGCAUACUAUCGGCUGGGCCGAUAUCGGAUUAGCUAGUGGGUGGGGUAAAGGCUCACAAAGGCGACGAUCCCUAGCUGGUUUGAGAGGAGGACCAGCCACACUGGGACUGAGACACGGCCCAGACUCCUACGGGAGGCAGCAGUGGGGAAUAUUGGACAAUGGGGGAAACCCUGAUGCAGCCAUGCCGCGUGUAUGAGAAGGCCUUCGGGUUGUAAAGUACUUUUAGCGGGGAGGCGGUAUCUGCAGAAUAAGCACCGGCUAACUACGUGCCAGCAGCCGCGGUAAUUC
rnacentral:rRNA from 1 species